UGAUUGUGGUGUGGGAAAUCUGUAGCAUUGACUUGAACCUCUCUAAUGCUUGAUAAAGAUUCUCACCAUAUUUUUGAUUGAAGGUUAAGAUCUCACUCUUAAUUUU
rfam:Capsicum annuum cultivar Zunla-1 chromosome 7, whole genome shotgun sequence